AUUGAACGCUGGCGGCAGGCCUAACACAUGCAAGUCGAACGAGUGGCGGACGGGUGAGUAAUGUCUGGGAAAAUGCCUGAUGGAGGGGGAUAACUACUGGAAACGGUAGCUAAUCCCGCAUACCAUCGGAUGAGCCCAGAGGGGAUUAGCUAGUAGGUGGGGUAAAGGCUCACUUAGGCGACGAUCCCUAGCUGGUCUGAGAGGAGGACGAUCCAAACUGGAACUGAGACACGGUCAAGACUACUACGGGAGGAAGGAGUGGGUAAUAUUGCACAAUGGGCGCAAGCAUGAUGCAGUCAGGCGGCGUGUAUGAAGAAGGCCGUCGGGUUGUAAAGUAGUUUCAGCGGGGAGGCGUUACCCGCAGAAGAAGCACCGGCUAACUCCGUGCCAGCAGCCGCGGUAAUAC
rnacentral:rRNA from 1 species